GUACUUGCUUUGGCAGCACAUAUACUAAAAUUGGAAGGAUACAGAAAUUAGUAUGGCCCCCAUGCAAAGAUGACAUGCAAAUUCAUGAAGCAUUCCAUAUUUUU
rnacentral:snRNA from 1 species